rnacentral:siRNA from 1 species
CACGAAUACCCUACCACUACGGCC